rnacentral:hammerhead_ribozyme from 1 species
AUCCAGCUGACGGAUUCCAAAUAGGACGAAACGAGUGUCUUGGAU